rnacentral:rRNA from 1 species
GAUCAGCCAUGCCGCGUGAGUGAUGAAGGCCUUAGGGUUGUAAAGCUCUUUCACCGAUGAAGAUAAUGACGGUAGUCGGAGAAGAAGCCCCGGCUAACUUCGUGCCAGCAGCCGCGGUAAUACGAAGGGGGCUAGCGUUGUUCGGAAUUACU